CAGCCGCCACGGUAACACGUAGGUGGCAAGCGUUGUCCGGAAUUAUUGGGCGUAAAGGGCUCGCAGGCGGUUUCUUAAGUCUGAUGUGAAAGCCCCCGGCUCAACCGGGGAGGGUCAUUGGAAACCGGGAAACUUGAGUGCAGAAGAGGAGAGUGGAAUUCCACGUGUAGCGGUGAAAUGCGUAGAGAUGUGGAGGAACACCAGUGGCGAAGGCGACUCUCUGGUCUGUAACUGACGCUGGGGAGCGAAAGCGUGGGGAGCGAACAGGAUUAGAUACCCGCGUAGUCCCUGUCUCUUAUAC
rnacentral:rRNA from 1 species